CGGUCUAGCUAUUCCCUCCAGGUGAACAGGCGCAGGGACGUGCGCUCCCAGCAAGAAGGGACUUGUGCGGCGCGCAGGGCGCACAGGCACGAACACAUUGCUAGCAAACGCUGAGGGAGAAGGAAGGCAUGUAUUUCCUUAGCUCACAGGUAGGCUCUGCUAGUCUGCCAGCUGGCUGAGCCCUGGGGGCUGGUGCGAGGGAAAGCUCCCCGAGUGGGAAGCCAGCAGAGUCCCUGUGAAGGCCGUGGCCUCAGGCCACCCCCCAUGACCACACUCUGGGCAGCCUGCGCAUUUUUCAAACAUUUCCCGGCUUUUAGAGGUUGUCCUCGCUGACCGAAAGAAUUCCAUGACAUCUCUCAAGUUCAUUUUCAUCAGCACCGCAGGCUUUCUCAAAACCCUGUUUACUGCCACCGAGACGCUCUGUGGUUAUUAAAGGGGGGAGAGGACGGAGCACAUGACAUGGCCACCCUCCUAAGAUGUCUCAUUAGAAACAAUAUUUGGAUGAAGUGGUUGUAACCGAUGCCACCUAAGAGGUCGGAAAAGAGAAGAAGGAAUGUGAAAACCCUUGUUUUGAUUUUUAAUCUAAUCAGCAGGCGCUUGUUAUUUCUCGGCGGAGUAUGGGAAGCGCGCUAUCAGCCCCGGCCGCAUCUGGUGUACAUUUGCAGGUUUCGUUUCUUCAGUCCAACGGCUGCUGGUGCGAGGGAACAAAAGCGACGAGUCCGGGUCACGGCCCCUCCCCAGAAACAGAAGCACUCAGCUCGCCCUGUCGCUGUUCGGCUAAGUGACUCACGCCACGCUCCACACAUUAGCCCGUGUCAGCUAUUUUAGAGCAGGUGGCUUCUGUCAGCCCCGUUACCACCACAGUCCGUGGGCGCAAGAGGCACAGUUCUUACCUUACAUCUUCCGUGAACCUUUCUCUUCUAGAAGAAACUUUCUAGACUCGCAGAGACCUUGGAAUCACCCAUCUCUCGAACGCUUCCAGCGCUGCCUGUCUUUAUGGUGACUGAAUGCAAGGCUUGAGGUUUUUGUGUGUGUUCUUUUUUUUUUUUCACAGAAGGAAGCUUUUAGUCAAAAUAUGCGGUUUAAAGGAGCAGUAUCCACCCUUGUUAAAACUAUUUCACGGACAUUCAGAGGUUUUGUUGCUACUCUAUGAAAGUUAAAUCUGAGUAGGAAGGCAUUUUUCCUGUUCCGGAAAUCGGCAUAAGUAAAACCAAUGCUGAGCUAACGAGAAAUGUUUCUUCCAUGUGUUCGUCUGGCAGAAGCUGCGAGCCAUAUCAAGGAAACACGUGAUGUUUAUAAAUACAAUAUGGCUCGUGUUGUCAUAACCUCUCAAUGACAAAAAGGAAAAAUAAGUGCAAGGAAAAGCAAGCAGCCACACAGCAGGAAAGAUGAGAUUUGUAUCACUUGGAAGCUGCACAUCAG